rnacentral:rRNA from 1 species
UGCAGUCGAGCGAUGGAUUGAGAGCUUGCUCUCAAGAAGUUAGCGGCGGACGGGUGAGUAACACGUGGGUAACCUGCCCAUAAGACUGGGAUAACUCCGGGAAACCGGGGCUAAUACCGGAUAACAUUUUGAACUGCAUGGUUCGAAAUUGAAAGGCGGCUUCGGCUGUCACUUAUGGAUGGACCCGCGUCGCAUUAGCUAGUUGGUGAGGUAACGGCUCACCAAGGCAACGAUGCGUAGCCGACCUGAGAGGGUGAUCGGCCACACUGGGACUGAGACACGGCCCAGACUCCUACGGGAGGCAGCAGUAGGGAAUCUUCCGCAAUGGACGAAAGUCUGACGGAGCAACGCCGCGUGAGUGAUGAAGGCUUUCGGGUCGUAAAACUCUGUUGUUAGGGAAGAACAAGUGCUAGUUGAAUAAGCUGGCACCUUGACGGUACCUAACCAGAAAGCCACGGCUAACUACGUGCCAGCAGCCGCGGUAAUACGUAGGUGGCAAGCGUUAUCCGGAAUUAUUGGGCGUAAAGCGCGCGCAGGUGGUUUCUUAAGUCUGAUGUGAAAGCCCACGGCUCAACCGUGGAGGGUCAUUGGAAACUGGGAGACUUGAGUGCAGAAGAGGAAAGUGGAAUUCCAUGUGUAGCGGUGAAAUGCGUAGAGAUAUGGAGGAACACCAGUGGCGAAGGCGACUUUCUGGUCUGUAACUGACACUGAGGCGCGAAAGCGUGGGG